CCUGGUUCGCUGGGCCACCGUCCUGACACGCCACCGAGAGAUUCUGCGGGCGUUCGCGGCGGUACUUGGGCGACUGUACGCCGUGGACCGCUGGUAUCGGGAGGAGCUGUCCACGGUCAUUUGGUGAUGAGCGGAGAAGCGACUCGAGAGGAUUUGCAGCGACUGGAGGCAGGGAAACUAAUUGGGAGGGGAGGGGCCAGAGAGAGAUGGGACUUCUUUCUAGGCUGGACCGGCGGGCGGGGCUUUAUUGGGGGCGCGGUCUCGUGAAGGGGCUGGGUUUUGAUGGGCAAGCUUCUCUGGGAGGUUCAGGUCCAGCAACCCUGUAUACACCCCGCCUCCCGAGCUGGUGGUGUCAUGCUCAGCCACCGCCAUCCUCCUGCCAGAUAUGUGAGCUGCAGUCACAAAGUUGUGUCCUCCUAGGCAUGGGCCGGGCCACUGCCUCCAUUGUGCCUGACUGCAACUUAGGCUCUGUCGUCUUUGCCUUUGAGAUGGGCAGAUGGUGUGUCACAGGGUCCUGGGCAGGCGCUCCAGGAUGUUGUCACAAGAGCUGCCCCUUCACUGUCUAUAGCUGUUGUGAAGGCUGGAGCUUGGAAGAUGACAGCCUUCAAGUCCAAUGAGGCAGUACCUACUGUACCUGGGCCAGGUGCAAGAGCGUGUCACAGCCCUAAGCCAACCUGAAUGGACUACUGGUGGGCUGGGAGUACAUUCAAGAUCCCAGUCAGGGUGGAGUGGGUGGUUGGUGACUUUGGGCCCGACUCCCUGAGGCCCUCCCCCAGCCAGAGUGCAUCAGGACCGUGGACCCCUCACAUUGUGGAAACAGCCUUGUGGAGUUGGGCCAUGUUGCUGUAGCUGUGCCUGGACAUGUGCCUGACCUUGGCACUAGCAUGGUUGCUCAUAAGGAUGCAAGGCAAGCCAAAAAGCACAGGACUCAGACCAAAUGAACUUGGCUGUGGCCUAAAGCCUGGCUGCUCAUCUGCCAUGAGACAUCAGGAUACAGGUUUCUGGACUGCAGGCUGGCUGAAUAAGAGGCUUAGUGUCCCCAGAGCUCAAUAAAAGCUUGCUAAACUCAACGUGACCAGGA